AUGAAGAGAGAGAGAAAGAUGCGCACACCCCCUAUGAUUAUGGUGAAGAUCAUUCUCCUUCUCCUCCUCGUCCUUGCACCCUUUCGCAAGGCCGCCGCAAGUACGGACUGCCCUGGCGUGCUGUCACUGGAUGGGUCUUCUGCGUGCGGCGAGGCGUGCGGCACGAAGCUCUUGCAAGAUCUCUGCAUCCACGUGAUGAUCUGGGGCGGCGUCGACAUGUCCGGGUCGCACAAGGAGGGGGCCACCAGGUACGUCAUCCUCGCCGCGCGGUUCGCCGUGGUAUCCAUGGACGCCACGCGGCUCGCCGCGAGGAACCAGCUCAGUCAGAACACCUUGCUCUCUAGCCAAGAGAGGGACGCCUACCAGGGGUGCCUGAACGAUUACGCGGCGGCGAGAGGCUCAAUCGACCGCGUCGCCAACGAGAUGCUGCCAGACUGCCGCUUUGUGGGGGUCGCCGACGAGUUUGCACGUGGGGUGAAGAGCUUGGAGAGCUGCUGGAUCCGGCUGAUGCGGCCGCCUCUGAGGUCGACACCGCUGUAUGACUUGGUCUGGGCUGACCGAUACAAACUACUGCUGAUUCACUUGCUUGAUGGCAAACUAUACUAG
rnacentral:rRNA from 1 species